AGGACGAACGCUGGCGGCGUGCCUAACACAUGCAAGUCGAACGGGACCAGGGGCAACUCUGGUUCAGUGGCGGACGGGUGCGUAACACGUGAGGAACAUGACCUUCGGCGGGGGAUAGCCGGCCCAACGGCCGGGUAAUACCGCGUACGACCACAUGGGGACAUCCCUGAGUGGUGAAAGCAGACAAUGCGCCGAUGGAGUCGCCUCGCGGCCUAGUCAGCUA
rnacentral:rRNA from 1 species